rnacentral:rRNA from 1 species
UACGGAGGGUGCAAACGUUGCUCGGAAUCAUUGGGCGUAAAGCGCACGUAGGCGGACCGCUAAGUCGGAUGUGAAAGCCCUCGGCUUAACCGAGGAAGUGCAUUCGAAACUGACAGUCUUGAGUAUGGAAGAGGGUCGCGGAAUUCCCGGUGUAGAGGUGAAAUUCGUAGAUAUCGGGAGGAACACCAGUGGCGAAGGCGGCGACCUGGGCCAAUACUGACGCUGAGGUGCGAAGCGUGGGGAGCAAACAGG